GCGUCACCCGGCUGUUCGGAGCGUCACGCCCUGGCUCAAAAAGCACGCAGCCACCACCACACCCUAGCAUCUUGGCCUGAAGCCCUGCCAAAGAGAUGGAAAUGAAACGGCUCCGCCGUCGAAGCUCCGUGAUAUCCGCUGAGACGAGCUAAAAAGAGGGAGGAGGAGAAAAAAACCGGCUCACCGUGGCUCCUCCCCUCGUUUCCCACCCUUAUCCUUGGGUUGGGAGGGGCCGCGGGUGGAGGUGGCGACGGCAGGCGGUCGGCGGCUGGAGGAAGGGACAGGGACAGCCGACGACGACUGGAGGAGGGGUGGAGACGACCGACGGCGGGGGAAUAGGGAGAGGCAGCUGACAGCUAGAGGAGGCGGACGGCGGCGGGGGCGGGCCAGCGAGGGCCGCUAGAGGCCGGGACAGGCCCGAGCGGCACGGGAGGAAAG
rnacentral:lncRNA from 1 species